AGUGAACGCUGGCGGUAGGCCUAACACAUGCAAGUCGAACGGCAGCACAGUAAGAGUUUGCUCUUACGGGUGGCGAGUGGCGGACGGGUGAGGAAUACAUCGGAAUCUACUUUUUCGUGGGGGAUAACGUAGGGAAACUUACGCUAAUACCGCAUACGACCUACGGGUGAAAGCAGGGGAUCUUCGGACCUUGCGCGAUUGAAUGAGCCGAUGUCGGAUUAGAUAGUUGGCGAGGUAAAGGCCCACCAAGGCGACGAUCCGUAGCUGGUCUGAGAGGAUGAUCAGCCACACUGGAACUGAGACACGGUCCAGACUCCUACGGGAGGCAGCAGUGGGGAAUAUUGGACAAUGGGCGCAAGCCUGAUCCAGCCAUACCGCGUGGGUGAAGAAGGCCUUCGGGUUGUAAAGCCCUUUUGUUGGGAAAGAAAAGCAGCAGGUUAAUACCCCGCUGUUCUGACGGUACCCAAAGAAUAAGCACCGGCUAACUUCGUG
rnacentral:rRNA from 1 species